rnacentral:rRNA from 1 species
AUUGAACGCUGGCGGCAGGCCUAACACAUGCAAGUCGAACGAGUGGCGGACGGGUGAGUAAUGUCUGGGAAACUGCCUGAGGGAGGGGGAUAAAUACUGGAAACGGUAGAUAAUACCGCAUAACAUAAGAUGUGCCCAGAGGGGAUGGGCUUGGUGGUGGGGUAACGGCUCACAAAGGCGACGAUCCCUCGCUGGUCUGCGAGGAUGACCAGCCACACUGAAACUGAGACACGGUCCAGACUCCUACGGGAGGCAGCAGUGGGGAAUAUUGCACAAUGGGCGCAAGCCUGAUGCAGCCAUGCCGCGUGUAUGAAGAAGGCCUUCGGGUUGUAAAGUACUUUCAGCGGGGAGGCGUUACCCGCAGAAGAAGCACCGGCUAACUCCGUGCCAGCAGCCGCGGUAAUUC